UUAAGCCAAUAGGGGUGCCGGGGAUCGCCUUCCCGGCUGAGAAGGGCAAUUAGUCCUACCCUAGAACCUGACCUGGAUAAUACCAGCGUAGGGAAUUGGCUUUUAGUCUAG
rnacentral:ncRNA from 2 species